AGCAGCCGUGGUAAUUCCAGCUCCAAUAGCAUAUAUUAAAGUUGUUGCAGUUAAAAAGCUCGUAGUUGAAUUUUGGGUUUGGCCAAUUGGUCCGUUCUUGUAGCGAGUACUGGUCGGUUGUGCCUCACCACUUGGGGAAGCGUAAUGUCCUUUAUUGGGUGUUGCAAAUAUCCAAGACCUUUACCUUGAAAACAUUAAAGUGUUUAAAGCAGGCAUAUGCCAGAAUACAUUAGCAUGGAAUAAUAGAAUAGGAUAAUAAUUCUAUUUUGUUGGUUUCUAGGACCGUUGUAAUGAUUAAUAGGGAUAGUUGGGGGCAUUAGUAUUCAAUUGCCAGAGGUGAAAUUCUUGGAUUUAUUGAAGACUAACUACUGCGAAAGCAUUUGCCAAGGAUGUUUUCAUUAAUCAAGAAUGAAAGUUAGGGAAUUGAAGAUGAUCAGAUACCAUUGUAGUCUUAACCAUAAAUUAUGCCGACUAGAGAUCAGGUAAUAUUGUUUCAAUGAUUCGCUUGGCACCUUAUGGG
rnacentral:misc_RNA from 1 species